AAAGAUCAGGGCACCUUUUCAUGGAAUGGUCAACAUAGAAGGUUUUCAAAUACUAUAUCUAUGAAGCGAAGAAUGUAAUAGAAAAUGGGGAGAAAACCACUCAAAGCCAAAAUGAAUGUCCCAUGUCCGUUUGGCCUUGAAACGGAUGUGCGACAUCCGUCGACGGAUAUGGAUAUGCGACACCCGUUCUGACAUUAUGGGUCAUCGUCUUCCUACACACAAAACACAGAAAAGGCACCAGACAACCAAACACCAACAAACCAUGCACAUUUGCAAUAAAAUCUAAGAUCAUGCAUAUUAAAGUCUAAAAAUGGAAGCACCUGGUAGACAAAUGUCCCGAUUUGCACCACACACCACUAAUGUGAACCACCGCGCUGCACCACGAACAUCACACCACCGCACCGCACCACGACAGAUAGGUAAAGUUUGGAUAGUUUAGAAGAAGUGACCCAGAGAAAAGAGUGUGACGAAAAUGGGAGAAAAAGAAACGGAAGUCGAAGUUUUAGGAGGGAGUGGGGCUAUGAGCAGAGAGAGUGAGAAUGUGACGCAAAUGGGAGAAAAAGAGGUGGAUGUCAAAGUUUUAAGAGGGGAUGAGACUGUGAACAGAGAGUACAAGUGAAAAAAGAGUAAAAAGUUAGGGUUGAAGUUUCCUAAUUAAUAUUAAAAGUAAAAAACUAAAAAUAAUGUAAAAAUGUUAAAAAAUAAAAAGAAAAAAGUUAUUUUUGUAAUAAAAAAUGUAAAAAGUUGAAGAAGUGAAGGAAGGAAACGAGGAGGUGGAGGGAACAAUUCCCUUGUAAUUUUUGUCUUCGUCUUAUUAUCAUCUUAAUAUUUAACUGUUUAAAAUUUUAAAAUAUAUUUAAUUUAUUAAAUAAUUAAAAAAAAUAUAUAAAAAAUUAUUUAAUUUUUAGUUCAUAAUGAUUAUUUUUACUAUUUUCUUCAUUGACUGAUAUUCUUAUC
rnacentral:lncRNA from 1 species